rnacentral:rRNA from 1 species
CAAUAGCGUAUAUUAAAGUUGUUGCAGUUAAAAGCUCGUAGUUGGAUCUCUGGUAGUUGCUGGUAGUACAUCUUAACUGAUGUAUCUGCUAAGCUAUACCAUAAAUCUGUUGUUUGUUUGCUUAGUUGCAGGCAAUACAUCAGAUCUUUUACUUUGAGUAAAUUAGAGUGUUUCAAGCAAGUUACUGCUAUGAAUACUGCAGCAUGGAAUAAUAAAAUAGGACAUGGGUUCUAUCUUGUUGGUUUCUAGAGCCGAUGUAAUGAUUAAUAGGAACAGUUGGGGGCAUUCGUAUUCAACAGCUAGAGGUGAAAUUCUUAGAUUUGUUGAAGACGAACUACAGCGAAAGCAUUUGCCAAGGAUGUUUUCAUUAAUCAAGAACGAAAGUUAGGGGAUCGAAGAUGAUUAGAUACCAU